rnacentral:rRNA from 1 species
CGCGUAGGCGGCUUGUCAAGUCACUUGUGAAAUCUCUGGGCUUAACCCAGAACGGCCAAGUGAAACUGACAUGCUAGAGUGCGGAAGGGGCAAUCGGAAUUCUUGGUGUAGCGGUGAAAUGCGUAGAUAUCAAGAGGAACACCUGAGGUGAAGACGGGUUGCUGGGCCGACACUGACGCUGAUGCGCGAAAGCCAGGGGAGCAAACG